AUGCUUUCUAAAUCUUAUUUUAAUUAUUCACAUUAGAAUUAUUGGUAAUAUGCCACUAACAUGGUGUCUUUGACAGAAAAGAUGAGAAAAGCACUGCACAACAGGAUUUCCAGUUGAUUAUUAAAUUGCCCAACGGUGACAUUGAAAGAUGCCUGUGUUAUUAGUUUCCUCUAUCCCAGCCUGUGUCAUGUGAUCGCCAUGAUCUCCAGAUUACCAAUGGGACUACUCAUAUCAUCAAUACUUCUGGGCAAACAGAGAGUAAAAUUUUUCUUCUAUCUGCUGCAAGAGGGUCUCCACCACUGAGAUUAGAGAAGAAUCUGGAAUCUAACUCCAGAAAGAGUGACACACAACCAAGAAUAUGGUGGUAUGUAAUUGUUGGGCCACUUUCAAAAGCUUUGGGAAGUGUUUUGUAUGACAAUGUUAAGUUUUUGUUUGUGAUAUCUCUUAAUAAGUCCUUACCUAAGUGAUAUAACUCUGGCCUGCAAAUUCGCAGAGGUUUUCAUUGUAGCCUUCCCAUGUGGAGAAGGCUGCACAUGAAGAUUGAAUGGACUAAUGUGUAUUUAGUAAAGCACUAUGUAUAGGGAGCCUUCAAUAAAUAUUAGUUAAUAUGUAACCCAAGACUCCAGUCCUCAGAGAGUGAGUGUAAAUGGGUCUCCUCCAUGGGGCCACCAGAACUGAAGGGAAGCUCGAAGCAUCAGCAGGUGUCCUCAGCGCAGUAGCAUUACCGGUGCCUCACUCAGCUGCCCUCUUGGCUCCCAGAGUUCCCUUAGAGUUUGGCAGGAUCUGUUAAUAGGAACUAAAAUAAGAAUAGACAAUGAACCAGGACUUUGGACCAAAGUGAUUUCCUCAGGCAACAUGGAAUACAGUCCACUCCCUCCUAAAGGCAGUUGCUGGCCGUACAAAACUCGUGAGGUUUAAGGAACAUAAAAUGCAAAAUAACCAGUUUUUCUCUCUAAAACCCCAUUUCCUUUAAACUAGGUUGGAAGCUGGGUGUAGUAGCACACACCUGUAAUCCCAGCGCUUGGGAGGCUGAGGCAGGAGGAUGGCCGUGAGUUUGAGACCACCCUGGGCUACAAAGUGAGUUCAAGCCCAGCCUGAACUGCAGAGUGAGACCUUGUUUCAAAAAAGAC
rnacentral:lncRNA from 1 species